rnacentral:rRNA from 1 species
UACGUAGGGUGCGAGCGUUAAUCGGAAUUACUGGGCGUAAAGCGUGCGCAGGCGGUGAUGUAAGACAGUUGUGAAAUCCCCGGGCUCAACCUGGGAACUGCAUCUGUGACUGCAUCGCUGGAGUGCGGCAGAGGGGGAUGGAAUUCCGCGUGUAGCAGUGAAAUGCGUAGAUAUGCGGAGGAACACCGAUGGCGAAGGCAGCCCCCUGGGCCAAUACUGACGCUCAGGCACGAAAGCGUGGGGAGCAAACAGG